AGGGAACUGAUUUGCUGUCUCUCAGCAAUAAAGGUUUACUGCAUGAAUAAGGAUGACAAAUGAGAAUUCUGGACUGUCCCCCCCGGCUCCUGAAUAAUCCCAGGCAUUCAAGAAUACUUCUCUUCUGCUAUUACAAUGAAUUACAUGUGGAGCUAUGAGGACUUCGGGCUUGAACAGUUGCCGUAGAGCUCUCCGUCUUGCUGGAAGGGCUUCUUCCAGGCCUUGGUCAGGAGGCUCCCUGGGUGCUACAUACAGGAUUUUUUUUGAGGAUAUGGAGAUGCGCAGGACACGAUCCCAGCAAUCCAGGUGCUUACAGGCUGAUUGUACAGCCAUGCACACAGAGUGCCACGAUGCAAAAUAGGAUGUGGUAAGGGUCAUGCAGUUCAGAGGAGAAAGCAAGUGUGGCUGAUGAACAUCACGGAGCAGUGACCUUCAUGGACAGACAGAAUUUGAGCUGGCCCUUUAACCAAUGAGGAGGAUUCAAACAGAGAGGUGUUUCCAGUUCUUCUCAAGUACUUACCCUUGGGAAAUCCAAGCUAACAGAAGUCCUAGAGGUCAACUUUUCUCUCCCUGACCAUUUGUCUACUAUCCUUGUAUAAUGACCAAUCAGGUUUGUAUUAUCCUGAAAAGAAAUUCCACUAAAGAUGAAUAGCAGAGAACUGUGUUCAGAAUACAAGUUCCACAAAGGUAGAGAUCUUGUCCCUCUGGCUACCUGUUGACUCUCCUGUGCCUAAUACAGUGCCUGAUUCAUACUACUCAAUAAAUACUUAUGGAAUGAAUGAAA
rnacentral:lncRNA from 10 species